rnacentral:rRNA from 1 species
UGGGGAAUAUUGGACAAUGGGCGAAAGCCUGAUCCAGCCAUGCCGCGUGUGUGAAGAAGGUCUUCGGAUUGUAAAGCACUUUAAGUUGGGAGGAAGGGCAGUAAGCGAAUACCUUGCUGUUUUGACGUUACCGACAGAAUAAGCACCGGCUAACUCUGUGCCAGCAGCCGCGGUAAUACAGAGGGUGCAAGCGUUAAUCGGAAUUACUGGGCGUAAAGCGCGCGUAGGUGGUUCGUUAAGUUGAAUGUGAAAGCCCCGGGCUCAACCUGGGAACUGCAUCCAAAACUGGCGAGCUAGAGAAGGGCAGAGGGUGGUGGAAUUUCCGGUGUAGCGGUGAAAUGCGUAGAUAUAGGAAGGAACACCAGUGGCGAAGUCGACCACCUGGGCUCAUACUGACACUGAGGUGCGAAAGCGUGGGGAGCAAACAGG